rnacentral:rRNA from 1 species
AAAAUAUUUGCGAAAGCUCUUUCUAUCAAACUUAGCCAUGAUCUUUCUAGGCUUGUUGGCACCCACCAGAGUGCCUUCGUAUGAGGGCGAUCUAUACAUGACAGCUUCAUGUUGGUUCAGUGCACCGCUCUGAGGUUACAAGCCCUCAAGGACCCGACCCUAAUGCUGAAACUAGACAUCUCUAAAGCAUUCGACACCGUGUAG